rnacentral:rRNA from 1 species
UACGUAGGUGGCGAGCGUUGUCCGGAUUUACUGGGCGUAAAGAGCGCGCAGGCGGCUGGUCAAGUCCGAUGUGAAAGCUCCCGGCUUAACUGGGAAAUUGCAUCGGAAACUGAUCGGCUGGAAGGUGGGAGAGGGUAGCGGAAUUCCCAGUGUAGUGGUGAAAUGCGUAGAUAUUGCUCGGAAGGCCAGAGGCGAAGGCGGGUAACUGGCACGCAACUGACACUGAGGCACGAAAGCGUGGGGAGCAAACAGG